rnacentral:rRNA from 1 species
GGCGAUCAGAUACCGCCCUAGUUCUGACCGUAAACGAUGCCAACUGUCGAUCCGCUUGUGGAUUUUAUUCAUGAGCGGGGAGAUUUCCGGAAACGAAAGUUUUUCGGUUUCGGGGGAAGUAUGGUUGCAAAGCUGAAACUUAAAGGAAUUGACGGAAGGGCACCACCAGGAGUGGAGCUUGCGGCUUAAUUUGACUCAACACGGGAAAUCUCACCCGGCCAGUACAUCGUAAGGAUUGACAGACUGACAGCUCUUUCAUGAUUCGGUGAAUGGUGGUGCAUGGCCGUUCUUAGUUCGUGGAUUGAUUUGUCUGGUUUAUUCCGAUAACGAACGAGACUUUAACUAUUAAAUAGUGCGCAUGUUGCUUCGGCUGCGUGUGAUCACUUCUUAAAGGAAUUUGUGGUUUUCAACCUCAAGAAAUUGAGCAAUAACAGGUCUGUGAUGCCCUUAGAUGUUCGGGGCCGCACGCGUGCUACAAUGGUGGUAACAGCGUGAUUGUCCUUUUCCGACAGGAAUUGGCAAACAGUUGAGAUAUUAUUAUGGCUGGAAUUGAGUGUUGAAAUUUUCUCUCAUGAACGAGGAAUUCCAAGUAAAUGUGAGUCAUUAACUUGCAUUGAUUACGUCCCUGCCCUUUGUA